GCCACACAAUCUCGUACGGCACAGAAAAAUCUGGCCGUCUUCAUCUACUUCACGGCCGCGUCGCUCAGCCUGGAAAAAUCCCGCCGCCGAAGACCCUGUCUUCUCCACAAGCCGCGCGCCGUCUUCCCAGCAAGCCCUAGCCGCGUCUCUCUCUCCCUCGUCUUCUUCCCCACGACCGCGCGCGCCCCUGGUCCAAGCUCCCUGCUUCCUUGCUGCGCUCCCCCGGCAGCGCUCCAUCUCUCCCUCACGGUGCUCCGGCUCGGCCUCCAUCUCCAGCUCGCUUCUCCCCCGUUCCUCCAUGGCCGCGCGCCUGGCAUCCGCUCGCCAUGGAGCUCCCGCGCGCGCCCCAUUUUCCAUGGCGCUCGGCCGCGCAGAGUCUUCAUCGGACAUGGCGCCUCAUCGUCGCUGCUCCCAGCCCUAUGUACGACGCCUCCCCUCCAGCUUCAGCACGGCGCACCUCCUCAUGGCCGCACCUCUCCCUGCUCGGCAUCAACGUCGACCGUGCCUUGCCAACGGGGCUCACCCAUGUUGGCCAUGCCUCCCAACUCCGUUCUUGGAUCGGCUGAGCUCCUAGGCACCACCUCGCUGCCGCUCUAGAUGUUGUGCUUGGCCCUCCGUGAUGUUCACCCAGUGAGCAGCAACAGCUCCGCGAACUAGUCCUCCACAUGUCGUUAGGGUCUGCUACACCUUCCCUGUCGCCGUGGAGACCGUGUCUCCCUGCUCCACAGUGCCCUUCACCAUCUGUCAUCGCAACAACAGCCCCCUUGCUCCUCGUCGUCAUGUCGUCAUUGCUCACCUUGUCGGGACACCUCCCCUCACACUCAGACGCUCGUCAGGGACCCCAUCGUCGACCACUUUUGUUCUACGUCGCCAGGUGCACUAGUUAUGCACGUGAUGCGGAAGACGAGCCAAGUUGACCCCAAGAUGACGUAAUGGGUGGACUACUCCGCAUGGUGAUGCUGAUGGACGAAUUUAAGGACGGAUGACCUGAUCAAGUGCCAGGACAAGGAUGAUCAUCAAGAGAUCGUCGUCUUACCCACACUAACGCAGUGUUAUUCCAAGCAAGCCCCGGUGUAUUUACCCUUUUCCUUGCUAUUUCAAACUCUUUAUCACUUGGAAUGAUGCAUUAGGUGAUAGGAGUUGGGUGAUAAACAAUUGUUGCAUUUCCUUCCUUGGAACUGUUUACCA